CUUAUUGGUCAUGGAGUGGAUAAAAUAUACAAGGCUAAAGGACUAGAUAAUACUGAAGCUCUUCAACUUCUAAGUUUAAGAGCCUUCCAAAAUUACCAGCCUCCAGAAGAAUAUGAGAAGUUAUCAUCUAAUGUGGUGCAUUAUGCCAGUGGCCUUCCAUUAGCCCUUGAAGUUUUGGGUUCCUUCUUGUUUGGUAAAACUUUGGAUGAAUGGAGAGCUGCAUUAGACAAGAUGAAAGAAAAUCCCGG
rnacentral:misc_RNA from 1 species